CUUGAACGGACCAGGACAGUUGAAGCUGGUUGGAACUUGGAAAGUCCUAAGGUUCAACCUGAAGGCUGAAAAGCCCAAUUAUAAAUUCUGCAGUUUCUCUCCAGUUUUCCUUUUCGUUUUGUUAUGCCUUUUCUUGUUUGUGGUGGUGGAGGAAUGCGAUGAGAGUCUCCUAUUUGUUUUCAAAUCCCUUUUCUUUCUGUGCUUCUUUCCCAUUCAUAUCUUAACCAACCAAACCUAAUUCACUCGCGUCGCUAUCUUUUUUUCCGUAGCCACGGCGUUGCACCUGGCGCGAGGAACAAUUUGGGAAUCUUGAAAUUGCGACGAACAAACGUAGGAGAUGGGGUCACCAAAUGAUAAUGCCAAUUGGGUAUUUGAUUAUGGAUUGAUAUAGGAUAUUACUGUCCCUGGAGGUGACCUCCUGUCUAUUGACCCCUCCGGAGGACUCUGUUCUUGUCCUUCCUUCACUGAUAAUGCCUCUUUAAGGUUUAUGGAAUUGGGUGCUCUCCUGGAUUCUGGGAGGCCUCCUACAAUGGAGAAAUCUGCCAUGUUGACUGAUGCUUUGAAAGUGGUGAAUCAGCUACAGGAUGAAGCUCAGAAGCUGAUGGAUUCAAAUGAUUCUGCAGGAUAAGAUCAAUGAAUUAAAGGUUGAAAAGAGUGAGCUCCGCUAUGAAAAGCAAAGACUAAAGACAGAGAAAGAGAACCUUGAGCAGCAAGUAAAAACCUUUGAGUUCUGGAGCAAGAUUUUUUGCUCAUCCUCCUGCCAUCCCAUCUCCAUUUUCUUCCCCCCGUCAAGUUGUUGGUAGCAAGUUGUUACCUUUUGUUGGCUAUCCUGGAGCUCGGAUGUGGCGGCUUAUGCCUCCUGCUACUGUUGAUACCUCAAAGGAUCCUGUUUUACGCUCUCCAGCUGCUUAAGUGGCAUGAGUUUUGGUUCUGCAUUCCUUCAACAGGCGGAAGAAUUUUUGGCCUGCGUUGAUGUUAAUUCCUAUCGGUUGUCAUGUACUGUAGUGGUUCCAUUUUUUCUUCUUUUAGUCUUAUGUUGAGGUUUAUUUUUGUUUCUCUCCUUUUUCGUUUAUUUUAGUAUAUCUUUUGUUCAAUUUCAAGUCCUAAGAUCUUUAUAAUUGCAUGAAUAUUAGAUUGUUCAAGUAAAAUGAAACUUAGAUAAUUAUUUGUUGUAUGUUUACGUUCACUGAAGUACAAAACUUGCAAAACAUCUUUAAAAUCAGUUAUGAUAUCUCUGCCUGCCUGAAAUUAUACUUCUUAUAUAUCCCCUAGCCAUUUCCCUUUGUCUAAUAGAUCUGUGGAAAAACAGCCGACUGGAGAAACUCGACAUUGCAUAUUAGAACUCAAAUCAAAAGCCUAAAUUACAUCAUUAUGCUUGAUAAAGGGAAUAAGGGAAGUUCCAACAGCUAAGUGUCUGCUUUUGUCUAUUAUCUACUUUUUUCGUAUAGAGCUAGCCACUCAAAAACGUAGUUCUUUCCAUUUUUUCAACAGGGGAAUUUGAAGCCCAUGUUGUUGCCAGAUUUAUAAUCUCUCAACACAUCAAUAGCUCCAAAGCUGGUUAUUAGAAUUGUACUCAAUGCCAUCACAAUACCAACUGAGAAGACAAUUAUAGAAGCCCUGCCAUAUUCUUGUAUGGUUCUUUGUACUACCAGCAAUCCAAGGAGUGAAGCAACGAAACAUAUAGCUGCGAAGAUAAGGGCGGUGUCUGUGUGCUCCAUUCCGAAUAAUAGGUACUGAAACGAAGACAUGGUAGAUGAAAAGAAGACCAUAAAGGAACAAGUUGCUGCAGUUACCUGGAAAAUGAGGAUCCAUGCUGUGAAAAUUAUUGCCAGAGGAAUUUGAAGUGAUGAAAUAAUCCAAUAUUUUACUCCACAUGGCUUCAUUCGUGCAAUGCCCUGCGCAUAGUUUGAGAUGUGAAUGAAAAUGACCAGGUGAGUUCUAUUUCUUCAUUUUUUUUUCUUUUUGGAACCUGAAAUUUUUUCGUUAUAUUGCUAAGCAUUGUGAAUGAAAAUGACAGUAAUAAAUAAAUUAAAAAAAAAGAAAAUGACUAAUAAAAUGUAUUGAUAAGACCGAUUUUAUUUGUCUGUUAUGAUUGAUACUCUAGCAUUUUGCAAGAACCAUAUAUGUGCUUCACCUAUGCCUUUGAGAAGUCCAAAUCCAAGUAUAUUUCAUUUAUUCCAAUUUUGCAUAGAGAAAGGGACAUUUGUCACUUUGAUUUUUCCUGGACUUAUCUAGACCCCAGCAUCAAGGUCCUCAGUUCCUUGCAUAAUGAAUAAGAACAGGAGCCUGACAACAAAUGGAUGGACUACCACCUGGUAUAUGCAAAGUUCUUUGAACUAUCUUACAAAAGUUGGAAUCUUUAAGUAGUGGCUGCAGAAUAUGGCCAAAUGCCGUCUGCUUUACUAUUUUUCUAACCCACAACUCUUUCUUGGUGCUACCAGUGGUCCUAAACAGGGGCAAGUAGACACAUCACAAUAAAGAGGGACCAUAUCUGGUAGAUAUUCUCUGGCUAGAGGACUGAGGUUAGGAAUUCCACAACUAAAACUCUAUACCAUGGUUGCUUACGUUUAAGUUUUUCUAAUCUUGAGCUUUCCUACUGGUAUGAGAACAUGACAGCUUUAUUAUUUGCAGUAAUUAACCAAAAGACCUUCUUGUUAACAACAUCUCGGUCAUAAAUCUGAACGAGGCGUAACAAUCUAAAUCACUGAUCUCAACAUUUUUAAUUUAAAAAGAGGAAUAGCAUUUAAUGAGGAGAAUUCUAGAAGGUAUAAAUCAGUGCAUACCUCUCCAUAACGAUUGCCACGAAGAAGAUAAAGGAAAAAGAAAGAGAACCAGACCAACAGUAAGAGCCCCAAUUUCUGCCAUGGAAAACCCAACUUGUUUUCCAUUUCUAAACCCACAAGAGGCUUUUUGUUGCUCUUGAUCACUUCACUUGUAAAACUAAACCCAUCUUUAACCAACAAACUUUCCAAAUUUUCAUUACCAUUUCUCAUCAUCUCUUCUGAUUCCAUUCUCCAGUGCAGAACCCCAUUCUUGCAAGUCUUGCAAGUAGACCAAACAAGGAAAAUAACAAACAAAAUUGUGAUAAGCCACUCUGGGAAAAUUAAAUUACAAAUUACCCCAACACUAACUCCUAGCAACAUGCAGGGCUCUGAUAAAAGUGCAAUAUCGUAGUCAAUCAAAGCUUUACCACCAAAUUUGGGACUACAGAGGUUACACAUGACAUUAGCAAUAGACCCUCCAGUAACCAUAAAAGCUGAGAAGCUUGAAGCUGUUUUGAGGUCUAGACCUGCCACUAUAAUCAGUAUGGGAAUAAACAAACCUCCACCCCCAAUGCCACCUGCACUAGAUAUAGAAGCAGCUAUGAAGCAUAAAAUUCCUGCUAGCAGUGUAGGGGGUGCUAGUUUCAGUGUUGGUUCUUGGGGUUGAAUCUGCUGAUGAACCCAGUGAGCAACUUUGUUAAGAAACUGGUCAGUUUUGAGAACAGUGGAAAGGGGUUGUGUUUGUUCUGCAUUAGAUUGGCAAAAAGUGAUUAAAAUGGCAAGGGAGAGAGUGAGACCUGCUAAGGUAUUGAUAGUCUUCAUUUGGUUAAAGCUUUUGGUGGUGUGUUGUGGUAUGUCAACAAUGAGUUGCAAAGGUGUCUUUAUAUGAGGAAGAAGGAUCUGGUGUUGCGUGGCAUUAGUGAAGAAAAGACAAGAGAAGGCUACAACAAUAUGAUAAAAAAAAUUAUUUUAAACAAACUUUUGUGCUGCUACCUUCUUCCACUGGGCACUAAUCUACUGGUAACAUACUUACUGCUGCAAUUUACAAUGUAGCUUAUUUGGAAGCUAGGAUCAGAAAUCAGUGGAUGAGCACCAUUCAUGGAUGUGGACAUUAAAUUAUUUUUAAUAUGUUUAAGACAAAUAAAAGGGCCUUUUCUUAAUAAUAAUUAUUAUUAUUUUGAAAAAAUAUUGAAAGAUACUCAUAAUACUGAUUAAAAUACCUGCUUCAGAUAGAUUAAAAUAUAUCAAACAGAAGAUUUCUUUUAUUUCUUUUGGUUUUAAAUAAUAUAAUUACACAUAACAAAUUAACAAGUACAUGAACUCUGCUUUCAGACAAGUGACAAAUACAUCCUCAAAACAUUUAAAUAAUUAGUGAAUUUUUUUUUUCUUACAUAUAAACUCUGCUUGCCAGAAUGCAUCCAUGUCUGAUUAUACAAAGAAUAAUCUGUUUUAAUGUCUCAAAUAUGUCAUCUUGUCCCUUGAGCUGUACGCAAGAAUGGAUCAUGUCUAGUAGUUUUGUUAUGGAUAUCCAGAUUAGGGUAGAGCUGAAGGAGCUAGCCUUUUAAUUAAUUAGUCACCUUUAGCCACUCUUUGGUCUUUCUUUCUUUUCUUUUUCUUUUUAUCCCCUUAAUUUUUUUUCUUGGAAAUUUGAAUUUCAGCAAAUGACCAAAUUGGAAAGUCAGACAUCGUUCCUUCAAGAUCAGAAAUCUCAUUGGAGGAUCUCAUUUAACCAUAUAUACCAUCUCAUCUAGGUCUGUUCCAUCGUAACUUCAAGACACAAUAUGUAUGAUAAAAUCAAUAUGUAAAAUAAAUGAGACAUAAAUUUGCGUUUUGAAUUUAUUAUGAAUCCAAAUCUAGGUAAGUUUUUCUUCUCAUUCCAUCACUUCGCCUUGAAGCACAACACUUAUAUUGCUCUCCUAUAAUCCCAUUUUCACAAUUUAGGCUGCUCUCAUUUUGCUUGCCAUCACUACGAGAAUUGUUUUUGCUUUUUUUUUCUCUGAUUAUUAAGAUGUUUCAGUUCGAUAGGUGUUCUAUUGCCUGCCCAUGGAUUCAGCAACAAUUUGAAAGGUUAACUUAUCAGAAAUUUUCGGAUAUACUCUUAUUUUCAACUUCUCAAAGCAUUUCAUUACUUAUUACGCCCUUCCUCGUCUGUGGGUGCUUUGGUAUCCAUUGUAAGCCUUUCCUCCUUUGGAUCUCACCCUUAACUUUAAGGCUAUGUCAUCUUAAGUUUGAGUGCCCAUCUUAUAAACUAUAGCACUCCAUUUUAUUUUAUGAAGCUAGAAAUAAUUACAUCUUUAAUCUCAAACUGUUUAGAAUCGAUUAUAUUGAUUUUUCUUUUGACAUUCAACUCUAUUAAAUAUUAAGUUAGAAAGAUGUUACAUAUAUAUAAAAUCAGGAGUCCCAUUUGAACCAUGUUCAAAUAAUUUUCUUUCUGUUAAAAGGACAAGUUUAUAUGCACGUGACAUGAAGGUGCAGGGUCUGUCUCAUUCGUAUCUUACCAAUGGGAAGAGAAUAUGGUAUACUCACCUGGUACAUAACAAAAUCCAUGGUAUUUGGGAAACCAAAAGAAACAGGAAACUCUCUGGAAGUUUCAUUUCUGAACAAUCUGUUGAAGAAAAGGAAAGAAAAGGAGGACAAAGACAACUGAAGUGGGGUUGGUUCUCUCUGUAUACAGUGAAACACUAGACAUGUAAUUUCCAUCAAAAUUAUAAUGCUGCCUCCACCGCACAAAACAGCUAAUAUCCUCUUUG
rnacentral:misc_RNA from 1 species